rnacentral:misc_RNA from 1 species
CUUCAUUUCGGCGCUGAGAGUGAAAGAGUUGGGAUUGGCGAAAAAGACCAAAAAAACAAAAAAAAUCGCUCAGGAAAACAUAGGGCCCUCUAUAAACACCAGAUAACCACCGCCACCAACAGUCAACAGAGAGUAUUAAAAGCAAAAUGUUCAACUAAACAAAGUUUAGGACCCUUAAUUCCCCGACUUGUUUGAAGAAUUUUUUUUUUUUCAAAUACAAAGUGCUUGUAUUCGAAUAAUCGCGUUGUUUUAUUAGGGUUUGCUCUCUUUGUUUCAAGCUUACAAAUCAAUGGCUGAUGCUAAACGACAAGUUGAUAGUGAUCCAGAGGAUUCGUGCCCGCAUUGGGCGAUGCGGAGACGGAAAGCAAGUGAUGAUGAUGACGAUAGAACCAGCGAAGAAGAAGAAAGGGAUGUACGGACUGAUGGGAGAGUUUUUGCGGGUUUUGAUGAUGAAUUGGACGGUGUAGGUGGAGCGCCGGAGAAUGAGGAUGAUGAGGAGAUCUCACAUUUCAAUGAACUUGAAGUUGUUGGAGAGGAAGAGCAGGUGCUUGUUUUGGAAGACGAAGAAGAUGAGGGUUUCAAAAGAGAAGAGGAUGAGCGUGAUGAGGAGGAGAAGAAGGAGAAGGAGAAAAAGGCGCUUAUAGUUCCGAGAAUGGGUGCAUUCUACAUGCACGAUGACCGGUUUGAAGGCAAUAGCAGUGGACGAAGGAUGACUUCUGGAGGAAGAAACUUGUGGGAAUUCAAAGAUGAAAGAAAAUGGCAACACGACAAGUUUGAAGAGAUGACCCUGCAGGAAUCAGAGAACAAAAAAUUUAAUGCCUACACCAAGGUACAGAGGAACUCUGAUGCAUAUCAUCAGGGAUACUACGGAAAUCCUGGCCAUAGUGUUAAAGCCAACCAUGUUAAACCCAAUAACAAUCAAAGCCUCUCAUCAAGAACUAUAAGAGGGAGAGGGCCUGUAAAGUAUAAGCCUCUUAAAAGCAGCAAUGAUUUAGAUCCACUAACUGGAAAUAUGGAGUAAGUUAACAGUUAAGAGACGGUCCCCUUCGUAUUGCCUUUCAUUAACAGCAGUGCUAGAUUGAUAUUUGUUCUCCUCAAAACUUUCAGAUUCAGAAAGCCUCUUGGUAUAAACUCAAAUGCUUAUUCAGCGAGAACGUCACACACUUCAAAGGUAGAUUCUGAUUCACUUGCCCCUAAAAAGAAGCAUCAUCAUGUGAGUUCUUCCAAUCCUGACAUCAUUGUGGCAAAGAGGAGGGAGGUACAACCAAGAAGAACAAGACGUUAUUUUCCAACUACUGCACUUCCAGGUGACAACAUAUGUGUGCUGCAUUACAAUGCAUAUCUACAGCAGAAGAGUGUCGCUGAUUCUAUUGGGAGGGACAGGCUUUAUACUCAGGAGUGCAUCCAUCCAGUUGUUGAACAUCAUUUUGCCAAUCUGCCCUUUCAGUCUUCUGUCCAGUCGAGGAAUUUUCCUCUCCUUGCACUGAUAACUCAUCAAUCACCUACAUCUUCUAACAAAGUUGAUAUAGUUUCUGUGCCUAACCAUGUUCAACAAGCCCCUCAUGGAAGCAUAGUUUAUUGUCCUUUACAAGCUUAUACUCAGCAGUUGAUCUCACAUUCUAGGAUUCGGUCUCAGGCUUCAUUUAAAGCUUCUUCACGAAGUGAAUCAGAUGUUGGCAUGAUCGAAUCAUUUGCUAAAUCAAAUAAAUCAGAAAUUGCAUGGGUUGGAGAUCAGAACUUUACCACUACAACAUGGCAUUUGCCUGGCACGCAGUUUAGUGGCAAGCAUCUUGGUGAACUUAGUGAGCAUGCUGUUGACAGGGCUGUCGCCAGAUAUAUGUCUCAACCCCAAGUUAGUUUUGGAAAUUCUGGGAUGACUUGUGAUGGAGCAAGUGCAAGUAAAGUCACCAAGGUAAAUAGAGCUUCAGAUGGAACUGGUUAGUAUUACUAUAUUAUUCUUUAAUGAUGUUUGAACAAGGGAUUGCUCCAUGAGCUGUUACCUUGCUAUCUAAUAUUUAUGAUAAAAGAAGUUUAAAAAUGCAGAAUUUAUGAAUAAUCGAUAUGGGUUGCAAAGGAUCAAGCUGCAAAGGCAAGUUGGCCCUUCUACCUGUGUUUGUAUGGAUGCAUGGCAUGCACAUGCGCCUAUGUCUAAUGCUUGUGUUUAACAGAUAUUCAAAGAUGAAGUUUAACAGCUAAAGUGAAUUGAUUAGGUCAUUUGUAAAGAGCAGGUUGGUUAUCGAUCCUUCUGAUACUUGUAUUUGUGCUUUAGUUUUUUAUUGUGAAUUUGUGAUACUCUAAUUUCUGAUGCCUCGGACUUUCACCCUUUUAAAUCUCCAGUCUUAACUACAAACUACAGGCUACAGUCUGCAAUUUCUUCAUUCACUGGUAUGCCUCAAGCAUACAUAGUUACAAUGUUCUUGAGUUCUGUUUCUGAUAAAUAUGCAUUUUCCAGCAAGUGAAUUAUAUUGUAAUAAUGCUUUGCAUGAAAAUUUUUUGUUGAACUGCUGGAUGUGCUAAUAUAGCUUUUUUUUUUGUUAAUAAAUUUUUUAUGUGCUUCUAAUAGUUUAUUGAUGGUUUAUACUUCAAGCAUGCAUAUCAUGCUUGUUUGUCCCUGACCUUCCCUUCUCUGUUUCAUUAUGGUGUUUUCCUUCCUGAUGCUCUGGUUAGAUUAUAGACCUUGUGGUGUUUAUUUGCAGAUAUGAUAAUUAGAGGAAAUUAGUUUGAAUCUUGUAAAUGAUUCUGAUAGUGAAUGAUCAUGAUUUACUGAUUUCAAUGCUUGUAAAUGGAAAACUUUCUCGCCAAGGAAGCGGUGGGGUUAAAUGGGUAAAGAUGUGCAUAUUGGAUCAAAAGUUUGCAUACCAAGCAUUACUUAUUUUAGAUAGGAAUGUUAGGGAUUGUCAAUCAAUUAUCUAUAUCAUGAUGUCUUCCUUCACUAUGUAUUACGGAUUGAUUCUCGCCUGGGAAAUAAUUCCCAGAGACAUGGUAAACAGCGGAAAUACUAGCAUGGAAAUUUUGUGCAGAAAUGUAGGGAGGAUUGAAACUGAAUAGAAUGUGAAGCAUUAUUUAGUGGUAUUAUCUUGAGUCAGUAAAGAUGGAGUUUGCAAUCAUAAACCAUGAGGCUAUUUCAUUGAGAGUUGAUUUUACACGGUCUCUUUGUUGGUAUUUUCUAGUUUCUUCUCCCUUUUGGAAUUUUUAAAGAUAAGUUUGGCCUUAUUCUUUAAAAAAAAAGAAAAAAAA